UGCACAAUGGGCGAAAGCCUGAUGCAGCAACGCCGCGUGAGCGAUGAAGGCCUUCGGGUUGUAAAGCUCUGUCUUCGCUGACGAAAUCUGACGGUAAGCGAGGAGGAAGCCACGGCUAACUACGUGCCAGCAGCCGCGGUAAUACGUAGGUGGCAAGCGUUGUCCGGAAUUACUGGGCGUAAAGGGUGCGUAGGCGGUCCUUUAAGUGGGAUGUGAAAUCCCUGGGCUUAACCCAGGAACUGCAUUCCAAACUGGAGGACUAGAGUGCAGGAGAGGAAAGCGGUAUUCCCAGUGUAGCGGUGAAAUGCGUAGAGAUUGGGAGGAACACCAGUAGCGAAGGCGGCUUUCUGGAAUGUAACUGACGCUGAGGCACGAAAGCGUGGGGAGCAAACAGGAUUAGAUACCCUGGUAGUCCACGCCGUAAACGAUGAGUACUAGGUGUGAGGGCGUAAGCCUUCGUGCCGUAGUUAACACAUUAAGUACUCCGCCUGGGAAGUACGAUCGCAAGAUUAAAACUCAAAGGAAUUGACGG
rnacentral:rRNA from 1 species